UCAUAAUUUUGGCUUGUCCAUUAUUAUCUAUUUACUGUGAAAUGUAUUAUUACUUGACGCUUGAGGGAUGCUCCACUGCUAUAAGGAUAGGCGGUGGGGAUGCUAACCGAGUCAUAAUCAAGCUUAGGCUUGGUAUCCUAUUAUUAUUUACCAAAAGAAUUCAGAAUUAAUAUUGUAACAUAGACCUAAAAAAUCUAUAAAACAACUUUUAACAACGGAUCUCUUGGUUCUCGCAUCGAUGAAGAACGUAGCAAAGUGCGAUAACUAAUGUGAAUUGCAUAUUCAGUGAAUCAUCGAGUCUUUGAACGCAACUUGCGCUCAUUGGUAUUCCAAUGAGCACGCCUGUUUCAGUAUCAAAACAAACCCUCUAUCCAACAUUUUGUUGAAUAGGAAUACUGAGAGUCUCUUGAUCUAUUCUGAUCUCGAACCUCUUGAAAUGUACAAAGGCCUGAUCUUGUUUGAAUGCCUGAACUUUUUUUUCAUAUAAAGAGAAGCUCUUGCGGUAAACUGUGCUGGGGCCUCCCAAAUAAUACUUUUUUUAAAUUUGAUUUGAAA
rnacentral:rRNA from 1 species